CAGAGUUACAGAGGCACUGGAAUAUCCGAGGCAUCCAUCGAUUGCAUCGUCUACGUUGGUUGAGCUUACAACUCGUCUUGAUUUUUUCAAGGAAAGAAGAUCCCAACUGAUGGAGCAACUCCAUAGUCUUGAUCUGAGUCAUGGCUCCCCGUCACAAGGAUUUGGGGACAUGACCUCUUCUCCAUGGAACAGUCCUAGAUAAAUGAUGUUUAUAGCAGUGCUGCAUGUAUAUCCUUGUCCGAG
rnacentral:misc_RNA from 1 species